GACUCCAGCUGGCACCUUGAGAGGCAGAAGAACCACCUGGCCAACCCACGGAAAUGCAGGAAAUAAGAAAUUAUGUUUGUUUUAGGCCGUCAAGUUUCUAGGUAGUCUGCUGUGCAGUGAGACACAAUGCUUAUAGACCUUGAAGCUUAAAUUUCAUCAGCUUCAUGGGAAAUCUAGCCCUGGGCGAAGAGCCUGGGGAUGGAGGCAGUGACUCAUGCACACGACAAAUGAUAAAGAACCGUGUGCUGACUCUCCAUGCGGGUGAUUCUCCCAGUCCAGUCCCCUACAGGCCGCCCCCUCCCUUCUGUGUUUUGCUUUGUAUCAGGGUUGCUGACUCUACCGAUGAAACGCAUCACUUUCUCCUUCGCUGGUUGGUUCCAGGUGUGUUUGUCAAACGCCUCGUCAAGAAGGUUUGCCGAGGAAAUGCCAAGGCUGUCAGCAUGGUGUGGACAUCUUCACCUUGCCUGCCUUCACCUCACCCAGCCCUUCACUGCCAAGGGCAGAGGACAGGCUUUGAGUCCCCCACCACACUUUAGCUGGAUCCAAAGAAAAGGGCUUGGUGAACAGAGGACCACUGGCCAUGCGAAGCUAAGGUGUGGGAUGAAUAGAUAGAUUCACAGAGCUGCGUCUCUGCUCCUCUGUGGUUCUCACUGUCAGCAAAAAACUCAAAGAGACCGCGUGUUAGAGAACCACCCAGGAGAGGCAGGCUUCCAGAACCCUGGAGCCUUGUGGUUUUUACUGAAUUCCUGCCUCUAUUUAAGAACUAUUUGCACAUUUCAAUAUCUUUCCCUCUAUGUUCAUUUCCCCUUUUAUAAAAAUUCACACAUGAACCCUGUGUUGAGCUGCUUCUUAUGAAUCUUGUAACCUAACCACAGACCAGUGAGUCACUCUAGGGUCCUGGACCUCAGUUUUCACAUCCAUGAAAUGGGAAAAUAUCUCCUCCUGAGACUUUCUGAAAGGCUUCUAUAAGAAGGUACAAAACUGAUGGGUGAUCAUAGAGCCUUCUAGAGACUUGCAAUUGUGGAUAGCAGGGAAUGUCUUGGUACUCAUGAAUUUUUAACACACUAUUUGUUAAAGUCCAUUAGGGAAAGGGGUGCCACAAAAUGUGUUUCUGACUCUAAGAUCAAGAGGAGAAUGCAAGGUCACUGUCCUUUGAACCUCAACCUUCAGCCCCUAGUUAUACAUGAUGGGAUAAUCCAGGUAAUCCCAGUGUCCUCCAUGGGAGGGAAAGCUCUCCAGCAACCAGACAGAAUUAAAACUGAAAGCAGCAUUUAUUCAUCUCUCUCUACAGAUGCCCAAAGAGAUUGAUUGAGAAUAUCAACCAGGCUUCUUAAAAUCCACCUUCCCCUGCCUCCACUUUCUUUCUCAAACACCCUACACAGCUCCCUGGAAGCUUCUUUCUUUCCUAGCCCCGGGCUCAGCUUCCCCAGCAAACUGCUCCCAUCCUGAAGUGGGCUGUUCUUGCUCCUUCGAUGGGUCUAGGCUUUUUUCAUCCCUCCUCUGAGUUUACACCUCAUCACCCCCACUCCGGUUCUA
rnacentral:lncRNA from 1 species